UGCGCUGUUGCUGGGGACGCGCCGUAUCUGGGCUGCAUGCGGGCCGCAGGACGGUCGGGAAAGGCGCUUUUUGGAUAAUGGUCCGUUCCCUCUGUUUUCAUCAGAUAAUUACGGGAGGCAGAGCUCGGUAAAACCCGGGCGGGAGGCCCCGCUCGGGCCGCGGCGACCCUCCCCGGGCAGAAACUUGCCCCCUCGGCUUUCCGUGGCACCGUACCUGGGGCCCCAGACCUCUCCCUGCGCCUCACGUCCCCAGGACCCCUUCGUCCCGGCUUCCCACUCGGGGAAGACCUUCCCAGGAGCCUCGGGGCCGCGCGCCCUUUCCUCCUCUCCAGAACGGAAGGGGGCCUGGGGCAAACUGGCGUAGACCCUGAGGAAUCGUGACUCCUCGUAGCUGGCCUUAAAAUACAAUUUUAAAUUGUAUUUUAUUUAUUAUUUUCAAAAAUGAGGGUGGCCGGAGAUAAAGUCGAAAAGGAAGACGAUCCCACCUCCUCCCAGGGUUUCACCGAUUCAGAUCCUGGGCGUGGACAUGGCACCGCUCAUCAAGCCACGCUGAGGCGGUGUCCCACGUGCCACAACUGGAAGGAACCACAACCCAAAAUACGCAAGAUGAAGACUGAGGAUUCAUUUGUCUCUUCAACAAAGAUUUUAUCAAACAUCUACUAUAGGCCAGACAUGACACAGGUGUGGUACCUGGCAUGUAGUAGGAACUCAGCAAGUGUUAGUGGUCUUUCAUCUUGUUCUGGUUUUUUUGUGUGUGUGAGGAAGAUUGGCCCUGAGCUAACAUCUGUCGCCAAUCUUCCACUUUUUGCUUGAGGAAGAUUGUUGCUAAGCUAA